AUUGAACGCUGGCGGCAGGCCUAACACAUGCCAGUCGAGCGGAUGAAGGGAGCUUGCUCCUGGAUUCAGCGGCGGACGGGUGAGUAAUGCCUAGGAAUCUGCCUGGUAGUGGGGGAUAACGUCCGGAAACGGGCGCUAAUACCGCAUACGUCCUGAGGGAGAAAGUGGGGGAUCUUCGGACCUCACGCUAUCAGAUGAGCCUAGGUCGGAUUAGCUAGUUGGUGGGGUAAAGGCCUACCAAGGCGACGAUCCGUAACUGGUCUGAGAGGAUGAUCAGUCACACAGGAACUGAGACACGGUCCAGACUCCUACGGGAGGCAGCAGUGGGGAAUAUUGGACAAUGGGCGAAAGCCUGAUCCAGCCAUGCCGCGUGUGUGAAGAAGGUCUUCGGAUUGUAAAGCACUUUAAGUUGGGAGGAAGGGCAGUAAGUUAAUACCUUGCUGUUUUGACGUUACCAACAGAAUAAGCACCGGCUAACUUCGUG
rnacentral:rRNA from 1 species